CGAACCCGAGUCCUCUGGAAGAGCA
rnacentral:piRNA from 1 species